GAAGGUAUAGCUCAGUGGUAGAGCACAUGCUUAGCAUGCACGAGGUCCUGGGUACAAUCCCCAGUACCUCCA
rnacentral:tRNA from 1 species